AACUGCCCCGAGGAAGGGAUUCUAAUCAAGCCAUGGUGGGAUACAGUUCAAGGUCAAGGCGAGGUCAGGAUCAAUGAAGGCAGAGUUGGACAGAUGAGGAAGGGGUGCUCAAGAUGGCGCGGCACAUGCCCAGCAUCACCCAGCGGUCAGCUCUCUGAGUGUAUCAGUGGCCAGGAAGGAAGACAGAGGACUUCGGCAGGGACGGGGACAUCCAGGAGUUCAGCGCUUCCAAGACAGACCAGCUGCAAAGACUCCAGGGAACUGUGUCGGAGCCCGGACAGAGGAGCCCAGGGCCUCGGCCCUGAGGAGACGCCUGAAGUGGCAGUGCCGCUCUGUCAGCCAAGGCCCAUGUGUGACACAAGCACAGUUCCUGUGCUGGCUAGUUUGGCAGGAACUAGGAAAGCAGGAAAUGAACAUGUGGACUUGGGAGUAGGAUGCUGGGCUCAGAUUGUGCCUCUGUCAUCUACUGGCUGAAAUGGUAGACAAAUUUCUAAAACUGAGCCUCGGUUUCUGCCACUGUACUGUGGAGGCAGUAGCAAGUCCUCUCUUAUUCCAUUAUAAUAGGAAUUAAAUUAUUUAAAUUGAGGCUGAUGGUGCACGCCCAUAACCCAACCCUACCAUCAUAGGGAGCCGAGACAGGGAGAUCGCUAGUUGGAACCUAGCUUGGACAAUUUAGUGACUCAGCAAGACCCUUUCUUUAAAAAAAAUAAUAAAAUUUAAAAAGGGCCAAGGGACCUCAGUGUGAAGGUCCUGGUUCAACCUCUAGGACGACAUAAUUUUAAAAAUAAACAGGGCCAGAGAUUUAGCUCAGUGGUUCCACCGCCAGCCUUGCUAGUGCAAGGUCCCGAGUUCCAUCCCUGAUACCAAAUAAAUAAGCAAAUAAAUAAAAUUAAAUAAAAAUAAAAGAUAAAAAUGGCUAGCACUGAGUUUAGUGCUCCCUGGAUUCAGUCCUUUGUACCAAACAAACAAACAAAAAAGUUAAAUCACUUAAUGUACAUAAAGGGCCUAGACUAGAGCAAUGGUUGGUAUAUAAUACAGGCUCAAUAAAUGAGAACAAUUAUUACUAUUAUUAAAAUAGCAACUAUUCGUAGUGCAGGGUAAGCAUCCCUAAUCCCACAGUGUGAAAUCUGAAAUACUCUAAAAUCCAGAACUUUUUGACCAUACACUUGUCCUUUCAGAUAAGGGGUGUUCAGGGCCAGGGAUUUAGCUCAGCGGUUCCAUCUCCUACCCUUGCAAGCCAAGGUCCUGAAUUUGAUCCCCGUACAAAACAAAACAAAACAAAACAAAAACAAGGGAUUAGGGGUGCUCAACUACUAAAUCCCAGAUUCCAGAAUCCAAAAACUCAGAAAUCAGAAACACUCAUGGAGCCGGGCGUGGUGGAGCAUGCCUGUAAUCCCUGCCAGGAGGCUGAGGCAGGAGGAUCACUGUGAAUUCGAGACCAGCCUGGGCUACACAGUGAGUUCCAGGUCAGUCUCAACUACAUAUUGAGACCCUGUCUCAAAAAAAGCAAAACAACAAAAAAGCAAAAAAAAAAGAAACACUCAUGGUCCCAAGAAUUUCAGAUAAAGGAUAUUCAACCUUUGUUAACCAGGGAGAGACGGUCAGACAUGUGCAAAUGAGGCUUGAAUAGAAAUAUCAUCAUUGCUCUAUUUUUAAUGCAGGCAAAUAGAAAGCCAUGUAAAUAUGUGUUUCUCACUUAGGGAGCAGCUAAGCAAACUAUGGCACAACGAUACUAUGGAAUUCUGAGCAGCAGUUAAACAGAAUGAGAAAGAUCCAUAUGGCCCAAUAUAAAAAGACUUCCAAAAUGUAGUGUCCAAUGAAAAAAACAAGGAACAGGAUACAUAGAGCAUAAAAAUUUAUGUGGAAGGCCGGGGAUGUAGUUCAGUGGCACCGUACCUGCCUUGCAAGUGAGUUCAAUCCCUGGUACCAAAAAAAGUAUGUAAAGCAUAAUAGUGCAAAUUAGUCCACGAGUGCACAUAUGUAUGCAAACCCAUAACACAGAGCCUAGGGCAUCUCUGUCCGCUAUGACCAGCCCACAUGUGGCUAUUUGAAUUUAAAUGCAAAUUAACUAAAAUUAAAUCAAAUCUGAAAUUCACUUCUUCACCGCUAUCCACCAUACCUCAAGUGCAGCUAGUGGCUGUCGCUCAGGCAAGUGCAAACUCGGGAUGUUUCCAUCAUAUGGAAUAUUCUAGUGGAUGGCACUAAUCUGGAGAGAUUCAACAAAACAAAACUGAUAUGCUGAGGAUUUAGCUCAGUGGUUCUGCCGCUUGCCUGGCAAGCACAAGGUCCAAGUUUGAUCCCCAGUAUCAAAAAAAAAAAAAAAAAAAAAAAAAGGAUUUGCUGGGCAUGGUGGCACAUGCCUGUAAUCCCAGAACUCAGGAGGCUGAGGCAGGAAGAUCUCUGUGAGUUCAAGACCAGCCAGGGCUACACAGCUUGUUCCACAGCAGUCUGAACUACAUAGUGAGACCGUAUCUCAAAAAACCAAACCGAAGCCAGGCGUGGUGUUGUACGCUGUAAUCCCAGCACUCAGGAGGCUGAGUCAGGAGGAUCGCUGUGAGUUUGAGACCAGCAUGGGCUACAUAGUAAGUUCAAGGUCAAUCUCAACUACACAGUGAGACCCUGUCUCAAAAAACAACAACAACAAAAAAACCCCCAAAACAAAACAAAGAAAAAACCAAGCCAAAACAAAAAAACUAAUAGCAGCAGUUACUUUGGCCUGGGGGACUGGGGAGGACAAAGAUUGCAGUAUUUUUUCUCUCUUUAACACAUUUGUAGGGCACUUACUCUGUACCAGGUGCUCUACUCAGUACCUGGAUGCUGGAACCCUCUCCCUGCCUGGGGACUUCCCAUACUCCUGGAUGAAGGGACAGGGAAACAAAGACUUUUUUUUCCACUUAUGUGCAUUUUAUUUCAGAUGAGGGAGGCUCUGUGCUUGUGUAAUUUAAACUUUAUAGAAGCAAACACAAGUAGCCCAGUCCUGGACUUCUACCUGAGUCUCAUGAGCUCCUUUCUCUUCCUCUCCCUCCCUCCUCCCCUG
ensembl:lincRNA